UCACGUAGCACUCAUUCAAAACAGAGGGUCAAUAGCUACAGCUGUUUCAGUUUUGCCAAUUUUGCCCUCCACAUUAGACACGUGCCUUCCAUUUACUUUAAUAGGAGCCAUAUGCGUGCAGUUGAUGGUGGUACUUAUCACUCAGGAAGCAAAGUGCUGAGUUCCUGCCACCCACCCACAACCGUGGCUUUAUAAGCCACAGGCAAAUGAAACACAAACAUGCUGCUGGCAUAGUAGGAACCUGUGGAGCUCUGACAAAACCAGGCAGGAAGAAAAAGAUAAUUGGGUUGUGGAGACUCUGUGCUGGCAGGCUGCUUGAGGAUCAUAAAAGGUUUGGCUUUCUGCCUGGAUCAAAAGCGAGAACUGUAUUUGCCUUUGAGAAAAGGAUUUGUGACCAGACUUUUGUUUUCCAGUGCUGUUUUACAGAAAUCUGCAACCACAUACUACCCAGAUGUGUUUGUUAUAUGAGGAUAGAAAUAUUUCAUGCCCUUUUGGAGCAAAAGUGGCUUCAGAAUUAAUGGUGAUCCACUCAGCAUCACUGACCAUACAUAGCCUCAGAACUGCUUGACUGUUCAGUGGGCACAUGGCAGUGAGGAAGAAUGAGACCCACAAGAUGUCCAUGGAUAUUGAAAUCCAACAAGAAUCAUUGGAUAAUAAAGUCCAUUUUCCUCCAAUGGGAAAAACUCUGGUGGUAUUUAAAAUAGUUCCUGGGAUGCCUGGCUAGCUCAUCCAGCCAGAAGUACCUUGAACAGCAGAGAAAAUUCUUCCUCUCCAACAGUUGGCACACUCAGCAGGACACCACUCACCUGACACCCUGCAGUAGCUGAGAGAUCCUUGAGAAAUCUGACAAACAGCUGACAAAUGUAGAGAUUUCAGGAGGCUGACAUGGAAACUACUGGAAAUAUUGAUUAUAUUACCAACGCUUUGACUGGAAUGGCAUGCUUGGGAGAAACAUGCAUAGGCUCAGAUAUGACCAGACAGCUUUAAAGAACUAAGCUGGAUUUUAUGGAGCUAAUAAAGCCCCUGGGAAAUAUCAGCCUGAUACUUGCUUACAGAAUCCCCAGCAGCCUUACCAGCCCUCGUAUUUAAUAACUGAUUACUGGAACAAUAGGCCUAACUUUGAGAACAUACCUGCAUCAUCACUUCCUGAAAGAGUUUAAUUGAACUGAAUAUCAGGACUAAGACUGGUUCAACAAGAUGAAACCAUCUACCAACUCAAACUUUAAGGUGUGUGCUUCGCUCUGUGAUGAAGGACACCAGCUUUCUAUGUAGGACACCCAUAUCAAGAUCACAGAAAGGAAUCUGGGAAUCCUUGAGAGUUGGAUAAAACUGGCACAAAAAAUGGAAAAAAAAAACACUGAAUGAAGUCUUUGGAAAAAAAACAAACCCUACAAAUCGACUCAAAGUAAAACCUUUCUUAGGUCUGAAAAAAUCUCAGACAAGUUUAGAAGCAUUUUUAUGUACAGUGUCUUUAUCUUCCUGCUGACUUUCAGAAGUAAAAACAAAGACAGACAAAACCCACAAAAGACAAAAACACAAAAUAAAACAAAAAACAACUCAAUGAUAUGUUCUUAAAUGCAUAAAAUUGUAUAUAGGCUUUCGAAUUGAAACUGGCUCUUCAUGUGGCCAGCAAGAGAACAGCGUGGCCAAAGUGGAUAGUACAGCAGCCGGCAGCCUCUUUCCUGGUUAAUCAAUGUGAUGGACAGGUGGACAUAGAUGGAUUUUCCUUGAAAGUUGUUCCAGCCAAACUGGUUUUCAUAGAAAGGGCUCUAUUUUAAUCUUUGUUCCAAUAUAACCACUAUAUAUUAGAUAUAAUCUAAACUGUUUUAUUUGUAAUUCAUAUUGCUUCUUUAAACUUAUAGUUGAGCCGAGAUUUUUUCUGUCCACCAGAUUAAAAGUUAUCAGGUCCUAAAAUGUUUAUGUUCACCGUACAGUAAUGCAGUUACUAUAAGAGAUAAGACAGCGUUCGUGCAAAAUGCAAAAAUAAUCAGUGUACGAUAUUAAUUAGCAUUUUGAGUUUUAAUCCAGAGUAAGGGGCCCAGGCCUGUAGAUAGUAGGUUCGGGCAUUUGGGGAGGAGAAAGAGAAGCUUAUCGGUAACAUUCCUGGACUUGUCCAGCUGUAGUUUUGGACCAUGCCAAAGUUAAAGAGGGAGGAGGGAACAAGGGAAAUUAUUUGCUGGCUGGUGGCUGGUAUCUUCAUAAGCUGGUUUCUCACUCUGGCCCUGGUGGGUGUUUGUAGCUGAUACUUUCUUCUGUGGGUACUAUGAAGACCCUCUCAGUAGCCCUUUUUAGUGGCAGCUCUCACAGCACGUGAGAACAUCUCACCUUCUGACCUCAGCCCUGGUGUGGAGAUAUCCCCAUCCUGGUUCUACACCAAGUCGUUUCAUGCUCCAGACCAGCUCUUUCCCCUACAGCCCACAUUUGGUCCAUGGGAAUCAAACAUUUCUUGGCUUUUACUAAUGGAAGUAUAGUUCCUUUGCAAAUAGAACCAUGUUGUCUCUUUGUUUUCCUGAAAUAGGCCACUCUAAUUUUCUCAGUCCAUGGUAUCUCUCAAUUAUGGAGAGGAUUAGGUCCCUCUAGUGUCUCUGGCUGAAACCCUUACUCUUCAUUGAGAUUGUGAAUGACAAACUCCUCUCUUUUCCCCUCAGGGACUGGAGGUGAGGCUCAAGCCCAGCUUUUUCCAUAGAAACAUUCCCCCAAAUAUAUUUUUCAUUCUCUAAAUGCUUUGCCCCCCUUUUUAUAAUCUUGAUCUGAUUGAAUGGUCCAAGAAGCGUGGAACCAGUUUUUGUACAUUCUUUUUGUGCAUUCUACCUUUUGUCUGUCACCUAGCUUUGGUACACAUCACCUGUUGUAUUUUGUUGCAUGGACCAAAAGCCCAGUUAACACUCUGUUACACUGAUGUGAACUCCAAUGGUAGUCCCCUUGCUUAGAUCUUAGCCUAAGAUUGCCAGAGAAAAUGGAUAACCAUUUAAAUUUAGGUUUCAGAUAAAUGGUGAAUAAUUUCUUUGUGUGUGUAUGUCAAUUGCUAUUGGAGAUAUGUGUAAACUAAAAAAGUGUUCAUCUGAAAUUCAAAUGUAACUGGGCACCUGGAAUUUUAUUUGCAAAGUCUGGUAGCCUUCUCUUAAAACUGCUUAAAGCAACUUAAAUAGAUUUUUAUUAACAUUUUAUUAUCUGGAGGGCUGUAUAUAUGUGCUUAUGUCUCUCAUGUCCAAUCUGGAUAAUUAGAUGUAACCUGUGCUGGAAGCCUAAAAUAACUGUCCAGCAAAUCUGUUUUGACUACAAUAUGGUUCUGUUUCUGUUCGUGUCAAGAUUUGACAUCUUCCUGGUGACAAAUCGCUUUUAGCUACACAUGUGUAAUUAAUCUUGAAGGUGAAAAUGGUUUCCCAUCAGCCAUGUUCAGGCCUAGCUCGGGGAGGGUUAUGAUAGGAUGAAAAGAAUUGUAGUACAGAGAAUAAGCUGUUUGUUCUGUUACUAAACACUUUACUGCUUGUAGUUAACGAUUUAUUCUUCAACUCAUAAAUACUUGUUAUUUGUAAUAUGUCUUGUAAGCACUUCAAAAUAUAUCCUAUUAAGGCUA